rnacentral:rRNA from 1 species
GACGAACGCUGGCGGCGUGCUUAACACAUGCAAGUCGAACGGUGAAGCGCCUUCCUUUUUGGUGGGUGUGGAUGAGUGGCGAACGGGUGAGUAACACGUGAGUAACCUGCCCCCUUCUUCUGGAUAACCGCAUGAAAGUGUGGCUAAUACGGGAUAUUCUGGGUCUGUCGCAUGAUGGGUCUGGGAAAGAUAUUGUUUCGGUGGGGGAUGGGCUCGCGGCCUAUCAGCUUGUUGGUGGGGUGAUGGCCUACCAAGGCGGUGACGGGUAGCCGGCCUGAGAGGGUGGACGGUCACACUGGGACUGAGACACGGCCCAGACUCCUACGGGAGGCAGCGGUGGGGAAUAUUGCACAAUGGGCGCAAGCCUGAUGCAGCGACGCCGCGUGAGGGAUGGAGGCCUUCGGGUUGUGAACCUCUUUCGCCAGUGAAGCAGGCCUGCCUCGUUUGUGGGCGGGUUGACGGUAGCUGGAUAAGAAGCGCCGGCUAACUACGUG